AGCUUUGCGCAGUAGCAGUAUCAUAGCCAAUGAGGUUUAUUCAAGGCGCGAUUAUUGCAAUUGAAAACUUUUCCCAAUACCCACCAUGAUGACUUAAAAUAUAGUCAGCAUUGGCAAUUUUUCACAAUCUCUACAGAGA